UACGUAGGGUGCGAGCGUUAAUCGGAAUUACUGGGCGUAAAGCGUGCGCAGGCGGUUUUUUAAGCCAGAUGGGAAAGCCCCGGGCUCAACCUGGGAACUGCGUUUGGUACUGGCAAGCUAGAGUACGGCAGAGGGGGGUGGAAUUCCACGUGUAGCAGUGAAAUGCGUAGAGAUGUGGAGGAACACCGAUGGCGAAGGCAGCCCCCUGGGCCGAUACUGACGCUCAGGCACGAAAGCGUGGGGAGCAAACAGG
rnacentral:rRNA from 1 species